GGGGCUGGCGCUGUGGGUAAAGCUGUGGCCUGCAGCGCCAGCAUCCCAUAUGGACCCCGGUUCAAGUCCUGGCUGCUCUA
rnacentral:tRNA from 1 species